rnacentral:lncRNA from 1 species
UAUGCCAAUUGUAUUCAAACUGAGAUUUCAUAUUUUGAUUGGGCUAUAUAACUUUUUUUUUGGCUAAAUUACAGAAAACCCUCAUGUAAUAACCCGCUUUUUCACUUCCCCCCCUGACAUUUAAAAACCUACACUUUGCCCCCUUAUAAAAUGAAAAAUGUGCAUUUCACCCCUACCGUUAGGGGUUCUGUUAAAAAAUAUUUUUUUAUACCGAAAAUAUCCCUCUGCCUCUUCUCUGAUGCUUCGCUCCCUCCGGCUCGCCGCUUCGCCGCCUCGCCGUCCUCCACUGCUUCGCCCUCGCCCACAUCCCCUUCGUCCUCCUCCGCCGUCUCGCCUUCGCCCUCGUUGUCCCUGCCUACCUCUCCAUCAAUACCCAUCUUAGUAUCCUCCAUAUUGUCGCCGAAAUCGAUGGGCGACGACGGUGUAUGAGGAGAAGGGGAGCAGGUGGAGAAGAAAUUGGAGAGGAAUCGUGGUCGAUUGAGGUGGAAAUAGCGGCGGAUCGAAGGGGCGGCUGAGGAAGCUCAGGAAGAAGACAACAAUGGCGAGGGGCAAAAUGGUCAUUUUACACACCGUAACCCCCCUGUGAACAUUUUUCAUUUUACAAGGGGGCAAAGUGUAGAUUUUUAAAUGUCAGGGGGGGAAAGUGAAAAAGCGGGUUAUUAUAGGGCGGUUUUCUGUAAUUUAGCCUUUUUUUUUUUGAGAGAUAUGUAGCACGCUACCCGUUUCGUUUAUUUUAUUUAGAAAUAAGCUUAGCUGGAAAUGUGAAUCAACUAGAAUUCAAAUUUGGGUCUCGAGUACCAACCACCAGGCAUUUUGCCACUUGCUCUAGGGACGGUUGGUGAUUGGGCUAUAAAACUUUUUAAAUUUUUUUUUAA